GCUUGCUUCAGCCACACAUAUAUUAAAAUUGGAACGAUACAGAGAAGAUUGGCAUGGCUUCUGUGCAAGGAUAACAUGCAAAUUUGUGAAGUGUUCCAUAUUUUU